GACGAACGCUGGCGGCGUGCUUAACACAUGCAAGUCGAACGGAAAGGCCCUGCUUUUGUGGUGUUCUCGAGUGGCGAACGGGUGAGUAACACGUGAGUAACCUGCCCUUGUCUUUGGUAUAACUUCAGGAAACUGGGGCUAAUACCGGAUAGGAUCUCCUGCUGCAUGGUGGGGGUUGGAAAGUUUCGGCGGUUGGGGAUGGACUCGCGGCUUAUCAGCUUGUUGGUUGGGUAGUGGCUUACCAAGGCUUUGACGGGUAGCCGGCCUGAGAGGGUGACCGGGGACAGUGGGACUGAGAUACGGCGCAGACUGCUAAGGGAGGCAGCAGUGGGGAGUAUUGCACAAUGGGCGGAAGCCUGAGGAAGCAACGCGGCGGGCGGGAUGACGGCCUUCGGGUUGUAAACCGCUGUCGCCUGUGACGAAGCGUGAGUGACGGUAAUGGGUAAAGAAGCACCGGCUAACUACGUG
rnacentral:rRNA from 1 species